UUAUAUUUUCGUCUUUAAAAUGAAAUUUUUUGUAUCAAAAUCGAUCAAAAAUUACGUUUGAAUUCAUUGUUGGCAUAAAAGCUGUUUUUAAUAUUUUUCAAAAAAAAAGAUUUCGUUAAGUGGCGCUCCUUGAACAUUGCGGUGAAAGAGAAGAAACUAAUAUCACACUACUGAUUUUCAUAUAAACACUUAAGUCGUGUACGUUUUGUUUCCGUGAAGUAGAUUACUUGAUUGUUUGUAUGCGUAAACUAAUGCUCAGAUUAUCUAAUCUAUUCCAAACACAAGGAAAUGCAUUUCACGAUACACAGAGAAGCUACAGUAACUCAUUUAGAUAUUUUAAUGAGUUUUGGACGGAUAAUUCUAUAGUAAAAAUAAAGAAGCGCAUUCUAUAUCGCGCGAAUUCUCAACAAUCGUGUCUUCAAUAAUUUCGACACAUAAUGAGCCACCGAUAUAUACACAGAUAUGAUACGAUCAUAAAUACGAAGCGGUUCUUUUAUUUUCGUCCAUUAUUCUCCGUGGCUUUCUGCCUUAUAAUCACCACUUUGUAAUACUCGCUUUUGUUUUUAUUCCGUUUUUUUUUAACCUUUUGACUGUUCUAAGCAGAAGCACUUCGCGUGAGAGGCAUGCGGUUCAUGUAUGCGACCGCUAGGGACAUAAAAAUAAGAAAAUAGUAAUCAAUUAAAAUCUUCACCGGACGCAUAUAUGCGUCCACAGGACAUACCGAUAGCCUUUGUCAGACGCAUAUAUGCGCCAAUAGCAGUCAAAGGGUUAAUAUCGUAUUAUUUUUUUUCUUAUUGAUUUUUUUUUUAGCGAUUUUGUGGAAUUGUUAAUUUCUAUGAAAUUCUAUUGUGAAAUCGAUAUAAAGAAAAAGUAGGAAUCGUCAUCACGUAAAUAAGUUUAAUAUCACUACAAUAAUGCGCAAAACGAAAUAUGACAAAAAUAAAAAUACAAAAAUCGCGACUGAAAACUCAUUUAUAGUUUCUUAUUUUACUCAAUCUUUCUUAUUAUCUUGGGACAAGAUACCCGUCGUGCAAAAAUCAAUAAAAACAUCAUUACAAUUGCGUACAAAUGAUGAAAUCGGGUGUUUAUAUCGUUAAAAUAAAAACCAAAAUAUCACGAAGUAAAAAGAGUGAUUGUUCAUUCGCAUUUCGCGAUUUAAACAACGAGUGAACUUGAAUCGAUUGCAUACAGUCCUUAGAGUCAGUGUUUGUUCGCAAAGAUUUUUAUUUUUUUAACAGUCGCAGAAACUAUAUUUAUAAAAAACAAUAGAGUUUCGCGAAGUAAAUUCAAUGAUCGUUCAUUAGUAAUUAAAUACUGUAUAUUAGAGUCAUUGAAGAGAAUCUCAAUCAAUUUGAUGUCGACCUACUUCAUUUUCAAUCAUCUAUGAAUCAACCUUCCUCCAUUUCGACUUAAAUCACGGACGAGUGUUAUUGAGCCAUCGCAGAAUUUCUUAAAUAGUAAAUUAUGUCGAGGCUGAAAAUUCCUAAUCGCCCGACGCAGUUAAUUGGUUGUAAUUAAGUAAUUAAUUAGUAGAAAAGCAUUGAAUGAUUACGAGUUUUUUUCGGAAAUUUACUCCUGAAUGAUUUCAUGAAUUAUAUUUUUUAAUUUAUUGUUUCA